rfam:Naegleria gruberi genomic scaffold NAEGRscaffold_44, whole genome shotgun sequence.
GACUACGGCCAUAUCACGAUGAAUGCACCUCAUCCCGUCCGAUUUGAGAAGUUAAGCAUCGUCGAGCCACAUCAGUACUGAGGUUGGAGACAACUUGGGAACCUGUGGUGCUGUAGUCU